rnacentral:rRNA from 1 species
UUGAAAGGGAAACGAUUGAAGUCAGUCAUGCUAGUGAAAAAUCAGUUUGACGGGNUNNNNNNNNGGGAGUAGAGGCAGGGUCAAACCGUUUCUCUUUUGGACUUGUGAUUUGUCGGAUGUACUUUUUCUUUGGCAGGUCAGCGUCGGUUUCAGAGGUUGUAAAAUACUUGGGGGAAAGUAGCUCUGCUUCGGGAGAGUGUUAUAGACCCUGGGGGAUGCGGCCUGUAGGAUCGAGGAUUGCAGCAAAUGCCUUUGGCUUGUCGCCUGAUCUCUGGAUGUUACCUCUCUUGUGACAACAUUCUUGCCACCGGGGAGUACUAAUGCCCAUUAGGUUAGAACGAUCAAAAAUUUGCUUAGGAUGUUGACGUA